rnacentral:lncRNA from 1 species
GGCCACCAUCAGUUUCUUUACAACUAUUAAAGCAGCAGUGGGGUUGUGCUUGCUUAUUUCAGAGCUUGGUGCUGCUAAGGGGGUUACCUACAGGUGAAAGUCGUUUUCUUUACAAAGUUCUCACUUCCAGAGCAUGAGAGUUGAAAUACUGUGGUAUCAGCUCAAGUGGUGUUUCACAGUCUUUACGGUCAUGCAGGCUGGUGUUUCUCUCCUCUGAUUUCUUUAAUAUGGGAAAUGUUAGCUGUGAAGUCCUAAUCAACUAAUUGCUUCGGUCUUGCUAAUUGCACUCAGCCUGAUCUACAAAAGGAAGAGUCAUUGGACUGUUUUCAGUGUUUCCUCUGGACAGAGACUCCUUGGAAGUUUUCCCACCACAGAUUUGUUCUUAGUUUUUAUGCUGCUUGCAAGGUACGUGUUUCAGAGUAGUGUGGUGGAAAGUCACUGGUCCAGAAAAAAUUCUAGAAUGACUGAUGUGUGUGAUGGUUGGUUGUUUUUUGAAUAGAAACUUCGUAGCUUUCUCUGAAGGAAAUUACUGAGGGUCACCGCAGUCCUUCCCUUCUUCCCUCUUCUCUCCAUUAUAACUACUUGCUGGCAUUUUGUUAACAUACCUAAAUACCAGUAUUUGUUUUCAGUAUAUUCUAUUUGAUGGAUCUGAUACUUUGUUCACCUUACAAAUUACUGACAUUUAAAGCUGCUUGUUUCUUGUAAUAAAGCCGAGUUUGAGACUAUGGAAUAAGUAAUA